rnacentral:rRNA from 1 species
GAAGAACGCUGGAGGAGUGCCUAACACAUACCAGUCGAACGGAACCUCCCUGCUUUUGAGCGGUGCUCGAGUGGCGGAACAGAGGACCUCCCGUCUGUAUCCUGCCCUUCACUUUGGGAUAACCUAAGGAAACUGAGGCUAAUAACAGAUAGAUGCUCAUGCAGCAUGGUGUGGGUUGGAGAGUUUCGGCGGUUGGGGAUGAACUCGCUGAGUAGCAGCUUGUGGGUGGGGUAGUGGGGUACCAAGGCUUUGACGGGUAGGCGGCAUGGGAGUGUGACCGGCCACAUUGGGACUGAGAUAGGGCCGAGACUCCUACGGGAGGCAGCGGUGGGGGAUAGUACACAAUGAGCGGAAGCCAGAUGCAGCAACGCCGCGUGCGGGAUGACGGCCUACGGGUUGUAAACCGCUUCCGCCUGGGACGCAGCGUGAGUGACGGUAAUGGGUAAAGAAGCACGGGCUAACUACGUG